CCCUAUGGGGUGGAGGUGGUCAGCUUAUCUUCCCUUGGCGAUGCAGUGAACUUGGCAGGGGCGAUGAUAGGAUGCCGCAUGGCCUUGAUAUGGUUUGCUGGAGGACAUGCAGCAGCCACAGUCCUCCUUUCAAAGCUUCUGAGAAAAAAGACCAUCAUCGUGGUUGGCGGCUUCGAUGUUGCAUGCAUCCCGGAGAUAAACUACGGCCGUUUCGCUCAGGGCAGGAUCAAGAGCAUUCUCACCAAAUUUGCCUUAAUGUACGCGGACAGGGUGCUGGUGGUUGAUCCAUCCCUAAAGGACGAUGCCAUAAAAAAUGCCAGGAUCAACGGCCAUAACAUAGACUAUCUUCCUUCAGGUUUUUCAGAUACAGAUUUUUAUCCUAAGGGAGAAAAGGAGCCCUUGGCGCUGACCGUUGCCAUGGGAGAGC
rnacentral:rRNA from 1 species